GAUGAGCGCUAGCGGCAGGCCUAACACAUGCAAGUCGAGGGGUAACAAUGUCUUCGGACAGUUGACGACCGGCGCACGGGUGAGUAUCGCGUUUGUAACCUACCUUUAACUGGAGAAUAGCCCGAAGAAAUUCGGAUUAAUACUCCAUAAUACUAUGAUCUGGCAUUCUUUUUAUAGUUAAAGCUCCGGCGGUUAAAGAUGGACAUGCGUAACAUUAGUUUGUUGGUGAGGUAACGGCUCACCAAGACUACGAUGUUUAGGGGGUCUGGGAGGAUGGUCCCCCACACUGGUACUGAGACACGGACCAG
rnacentral:rRNA from 1 species